GCUUGCCUUGAUUCGGUCAGCGGCGGACGGGUGAGUAACACGUGGGCAACCUGCCCGCAAGACCGGGAUAACUCCGGGAAACCGGAGCUAAUACCGGAUAACACCGAAGACCGCAUGGUCUUCGGUUGAAAGGCGGCCUUUGGCUGUCACUUGCGGAUGGGCCCGCGGCGCAUUAGCUAGUUGGUGAGGUAACGGCUCACCAAGGCGACGAUGCGUAGCCGGCCUGAGAGGGUGACCGGCCACACUGGGACUGAGACACGGCCCAGACUCCUACGGGAGGCAGCAGUAGGGAAUCUUCCGCAAUGGGCGAAAGCCUGACGGAGCGACGCCGCGUGAGCGAAGAAGGCCUUCGGGUCGUAAAGCUCUGUUGUGAGGGACGAAGGAGCGCCGUUCGAAGAGGGCGGCGCGGUGACGGUACCUCACGAGAAAGCCCCGGCUAACUACGUGCCAGCAGCCGCGGUAAUACGUAGGGGGCGAGCGUUGUCCGGAAUUAUUGGGCGUAAAGCGCGCGCAGGCGGUCUCUUAAGUCUGAUGUG
rnacentral:rRNA from 2 species